rnacentral:rRNA from 1 species
UACAGAGGUCUCAAGCGUUGUUCGGAUUCAUUGGGCGUAAAGGGUGCGUAGGCGGCGCGGUAAGUCGGGUGUGAAAUCUCGGGGCUUAACUCCGAAACUGCAUUCGAUACUGCCGUGCUUGAGGACUGGAGAGGGGACUGGAAUUCAUGGUGUAGCAGUGAAAUGCGUAGAGAUCAUGAGGAAGACCAGUGGCGAAGGCGGGUCUCUGGACAGUUCCUGACACUGAGACACGAAGGCCAGGGGAGCAAACGGG